rnacentral:rRNA from 1 species
GUGAGUAACACGUAUCCAACCUGCCGUCUACUCUUGGACAGCCUUCUGAAAGGAAGAUUAAUACAAGAUGGCAUCAUGAGUUCACAUGUUCACAUGAUUAAAGGUAUUCCGGUAGACGAUGGGGAUGCGUUCCAUUAGAUAGUAGGCGGGGUAACGGCCCACCUAGUCUUCGAUGGAUAGGGGUUCUGAGAGGAAGGUCCCCCACAUUGGAACUGAGACACGGUCCAAACUCCUACGGGAGGCAGCAGUGAGGAAUAUUGGUCAAUGGGCGAGAGCCUGAACCAGCCAAGUAGCGUGAAGGAUGACUGCCCUAUGGGUUGUAAACUUCUUUUAUAAAGGAAUAAAGUCGGGUAUGGAUACCCGUUUGCAUGUACUUUAUGAAUAAGGAUCGGCUAACUCCGUGCCAGCAGCCGCGGUAAUACGGAGGAUCCGAGCGUUAUCCGGAUUUAUUGGGUUUAAAGGGAGCGUAGAUGGAUGUUUAAGUCAGUUGUGAAAGUUUGCGGCUCAACCGUAAAAUUGCAGUUGAUACUGGAUAUCUUGAGUGCAGUUGAGGCAGGCGGAAUUCGUGGUGUAGCGGUGAAAUGCUUAGAUAUCACGAAGACUCCGAUUGCGAAGGCAGCCUGCUAAGCUGCAACUGACAUUGAGGC